rnacentral:rRNA from 1 species
UACGUAGGUGGCAAGCGUUGUCCGGAUUUACUGGGCGUAAAGGGCGUGCAGGCGGUUUGUUAAGUCUAGGGUGAAAGCUCCCGGCUCAACUGGGAGAGGUCCUUGGAUACUGGCAGACUUGAGGGGGGUAGAGGAGAGUGGAAUUCCCGGUGUAGUGGUGAUAUGCGUAGAUAUCGGGAGGAACACCAGUGGCGAAGGCGGCUCUCUGGGCCCUACCUGACGCUGAGACGCGAAAGCGUGGGGAGCGAACCGG